rnacentral:rRNA from 1 species
AUUGAACGCUGGCGGCAUGCCUUACAUAUGCAAGUCGAACGGCAGCACGGGAGCAAUCCUGGUGGCGAGUGGCGAACGGGUGAGUAAAGUAUCGAAACGUGCCCAGUCGUGGGGGAUAACGUAGCGAAAGUUACGCUAAUAACGCAUACGAUCUAUGGAUGAAAGCGGGGGAUCGCAAGACCUCGCGCGAUUGGAGCGGCCGAUAUCAGAUUAGGGAGUUGGUGGGGUAAAGGCUCACCAAGCCGGCGAUCUGUAGCUGGUCUGAGAGGACGACCAGCCACACUGGGACUGAUACACGGCCAAGACUCCUACGGGAGGCAGCAGUGGGGAAUUUUGGACAAUGGGCGAAAGCCUGAUCCAGCCAUGCCGCGUGCAGGAUGAAGGCCUUCGGGUUGUAAACUGCUUUUGUACGGAACGAAAAGGUUUGGCCUAAUAAGCUGAGCUCAUGACGGUACCGUAAGAAUAAGCACCGGCUAACUACGUGCCAGCAGCCGCCGUAA